rnacentral:rRNA from 1 species
GAGCGGACGGAUGGGAGCUUGCUCCCUGAUGUUUCGGCGGAGGGGGGAGAAAAACGUGGGUAACCUGCCUCCUAACAGGGAUAACUCCGGAAAACCGGGGCUAUAACCGGAUAUUUGUUGAACCCCGUGGGGUUAUAAUUUAAGGGGGGUUUUCGGUUCCCUUUUAUGGGGGCCCCCGCGCCAUUUUAUUUAUUGGGGGGGGAAGGGGCUCCCCAGGGAAAAAAUGCAAACCCCCCCUGAGGGGGUGACCGCCCACUGGGGAAUUGAAACCCGCCCCAAACUCCUAGGGGGGGCAACAAAGGGAAUUCUCCCGAAGGGAAAAAAAUUCUGAGGGACCACCCCCGGGGGAGGGAAAAGGGUUUUCGGUUCAAAAACCUCUGUUGUAGGAAAAAAACAAGUCCUUUUAAAUUAGGCGGGCAUCUUGAGGGCACAAACCCAAAACCCCCGGUAUAUCAACGUGCCAACACCCGCGAUAAACAUAGGGGCAGCUUUUCCGAAUUUUUUGCGCGAAAGCGCGCGCGGGGUUUCUAACUCAAUGAAAACCCCCGGCUCCCCGGGGGGGUAUUGAAAACGGGAAUUGAGUGCAAAGAAGAAAGUAAAUUCCAUGUGUAGCGUAAAUGCAUAAAAUGGGGAGACCACAGUGGCAAGGCGACUCCUGGUCUGUACUGACCUGAG